UACGUAGGGGGCUAGCGUUGUCCGGAAUCAUUGGCGUAAAGAGCGUGUAGGCGUUGCUCGGUAAGUCCGCUGUAAAAGUCAAAGGCUCAACCUUUGAAUGUCAGUGGAUACUGCCGGGCUAGAGUCCGGAAGAGGGCGAGUGGAACUCCUGGUGUAGCGGUGGAAAUGCGCGAUAUCAGGAAGAACACCAACGGCGAAGGCAGCUCGCUGGGACGGUACUGACGCUGAGACGCGAAAGCGUGGGGAGCAAACAGG
rnacentral:rRNA from 1 species